UAAGCGGAGGAAAAGAAACCAACAGGGAUUGCCCCAGUAACGGCGAGUGAAGCGGCAAAAGCUCAAAUUUGAAAUCCUGCGGGAAUUGUAAUUUGAAGGUUUCGUGGUCUGAGUCGGCCGCGCCCAAGUCCAUUGGAACAUGGCGCCUGGGAGGGUGAGAGCCCCGUCUGGCGCACGCCGACUCUUUGCACCGCGGCUCCGACGAGUCGAGUUGUUUGGGAAUGCAGCUCUAAGUGGGUGGUAAAUUCCAUCUAAAGCUAAAUAUUGGCGAGAGACCGAUAGCGAACAAGUACAGUGAUGGAAAGAUGAAAAGCACUUUGAAAAGAGAGUGAAACAGCACGUGAAAUUGUUGAAAGGGAAGGGCUUGCAAGCAGACACGGUUUUACCGGGCCAGCGUCGAAAGGGUGAGAGGAACAAGAACUCGAGAAUGUGGCGCGCACCUUCGGGCGCGCGUGUUAUAGCUCGUGUUGACGCCUCCAU
rnacentral:rRNA from 1 species